rnacentral:rRNA from 1 species
CCAAUAGCGUAUAUUAAAGUUGUUGCAGUUAAAAAGCUCGUAGUUGAAUUUCGGGGUUAGUAGGUUGGUCGUGCCUCAGGUACGUACUGGCCUCACUGAUUCCUCCUUCCUGAUGAACCGUAAUGCCAUUAAUUUGGUGUUGCGGGGAAACUGGACUGUUACUUUGAAAAAAUUAGAGUGUUUAAAGCAGGCUAACGCUUGAAUACAUUAGCAUGGAAUAAUGAAAUAGGACGUUCGAUCCUAUUUUGUUGGUUUCUAGGAUUGACAUAAUGAUUAAUAGGGAUAGUUGGGGGCAUUAGUAUUCAAUUGUCAGAGGUGAAAUUCUUGGAUUUAUUGAAGACUAACUACUGCGAAAGCAUUUGCCAAGGAUGUUUUCAUUAAUCAAGAACGAAAGUUAGGGGAUCGAAGACGAUCAGAUACCGUCGUAGUCUUAACCAUAAACUAUGCCGACUAGGGAUCGGAUGAUGUUAAUUUUUUAAUGACUCAUUCGGCGCCUUACG